CGGUCGGUGGUGCUGGAGCAAGCAGAGUCGCUUCGGACCGGAGGAACAUCGCUGACGCUAUUCAAGAACGGUUGGCGCGUUCUGGACGCCAUCUCCGUCGGGCCUCAACUCCGAACGCAGUUCCUCGAAAUUGAAGGGUACAGUUUCUUUUUUUUGCCCAUCAAUUAGGAAAAAAGAAAAAUCAGAGAUCAUAGAUAAAAACAUGGGCAAUGAUCCCGACAGUGACAGAUCACACUUAUGUUAGGAGCUAUGAUCUAAAAACAGAGACUUUUUACUUGUUGGUUUUACCUGAGUGUGUUGGUAUGAUCAGCUGAGCAGGAUGGUAGUGAAGCAGGAAGAUGGAAGAGAGCUUCGUUCUUUCAAAUUCAAAGAUGAAGAUCAAAGGUAAGCACUUUAUAACUUGCUCACGAGGGUGGUUCAAAGCAUUUGAUUUG
rnacentral:lncRNA from 1 species